AAUAAACAUAUAUAUAGGAGAGAAAGUAAAUAGCAUAACCAACAUAUAAACUAAAAUGUCUUCGCUCAAGUUUGUUUUCCUUUUCUCUUUUCUGUUGAUAAGCACUUACUUGCAGGUGAAAGUGGAAGCAAGAGGUCCAAUAGUCUCAUUUCGAUGCAAGACUAAUGCUGAUUGCAUAACCAAUCCUGGAUGUGGGCCACCACUUUGCCAUGCUACGUCUACUUGCGUAAAUACAAUUUGUACUUGUCCAGGAAGAGCUUCUUUAAAAGAAGCUACUCUUAGAAAUCAAGAAGUAACAAUGCAUUGAAAUGGAGGAACAAAUAUUUUGGAUGUAAUCCUUUUGAAUAAGAGUUAGAUACAUAUAUUAAACUAUCAUGCCUAUUUUGUUA